UACGAAGGGGGCUAGCGUUGCUCGGAAUCAUUGGGCGUAAAGAGCGUGUAGGCGGUCCGGUAAGUCCGCUGUGAAAGUCGGGGGCUCAACCCUCGAAUGCCGGUGGAUACUGUCGGGCUAGAGUGCGGAAGAGGCGAGUGGAAUUCCUGGUGUAGCGGUGAAAUGCGCAGAUAUCAGGAGGAACACCUAUUGCGAAGGCAGCUCGCUGGGACGUAACUGACGCUGAGACGCGAAAGCGUGGGGAGCAAACAGG
rnacentral:rRNA from 1 species